CAAUUAGAUGUUAACGCUGGUAUACAUACAGCGUUACGCUGUAUUUAUAAUAUAUAACGCGCGAAGAUAAAUACAAAUCCUUUCUGUACGGAUUUCGAGUGUGCGGGAGCGAUGCAUGUAGGGAAAUGUAUUUUCAAUUAUACGCCCGCCAGUUCCGCUCUCGUGAGCCCAACGGCAAAGAAAGAAAUGUUAAGCUUGCUGGUAGUUCUACCAUGAGGACUCAAAAUCACGCGCGGCUGGCCACCAAUCACCAAUCACCAGCUACCAAUCACCUGCCUACACCUGCUCUAUAAAGAGUAGUCUAACAUGUUUUUGCUGCUCAGGUCUUCGUUCGACGCAUGCUGCUGCUUUACUGUGCUUCUGAUUAUCUCGCAUUUCUCGUCGCUUAGUUGCUACGUCGGUUAAUACACACCAAGAGGUCAUAACUUUGGAUUCGUGCUGGUCGGCCUACUACUUCUGGUCCGGGCAAGUGAGCGCAGAAAGCCGUUCAUUUCGGUCCCCGGUAUCCUCAACAACACCACCAACAAGUUCCCAACACGGACAUCCGCCUGGUUCUACAAACCCUCGCCGAGUUGGUGCAAAGCAUUGGCGCCAGGAUGGACGCCGUCGAAACACCAUGCGGAACUCCCGGACGGGUCCAGGCCCCCAACCCGCUGUCGUCAGUCGCCACGGCGCCUUUCUACUUCCAGCAACCAUCAGGCUCGGCUUCCUCCGCCUUCACAGGCUACGCACCUGGCACUUGCCCUGCUACCAUGGCUACUGCAGUCCCCGCGUUAGCCCCCGCGUUAGCCCCCGCAGCGUAUUCUCUCUCACAGCUCUACCAAUCCAGCUUCAGGAUGCGGCUCCCUCGGUCGGGUUAGGGGGUUUCUUCCAAGGGCAAUGGUUUGCUGAGAUGGCCAGUCGAAGCUGGCACGUUUGCCCUCGGGUCAGAGUCGUCUGCGCUGUUCGAGCUUUACCCUAUCGUAGCAGCUAGCGUUCUGUGGGGCAAAGCAUGGCGGCGUUAACGUCUAACCAUGUUUUGCGAUAACAAAGCAGCGUCAAAACGGCUGGGAAGGUGGUCUUCCACAGCAUACGGAUUUUAUGUCCGGUUGAAUUCGGUGAGUUCGUUGCACACGUCGGUGUGGUACAACACAGAACUCUAGGUUCGCAAUCAAAGGUUCAUAAUUAUCUUUAUACUGUGUACUAAAAUGUGUACGUUUUCUCUUCAUCACGCCACCUCAAGCGUUUUAUUAGCCGUUUUCUGUUAUUACUUUUUGCUGGAGAAGGAGGGGUGGGCAGCUGAAAGGAGUCGUAGCGAGACAUGUUGUUUCGGCCUGGCAUUCGAGAGGGCCUAGUGCACUGUUCGGUUAACUUCUUGUGUCUGAGGUUUUUCUUUUCACUUUAACAUGAAUGAAGUUGAUGGGUUUUAGGCACUGUGGUAACUGAAUAUCACUAAGGUUUUUAUUGACGAAGGGACUUUUAGAUUGGUUCAGCUGCUGCUCACUAACUCUCACGUUCCUCUGCUCGCGAUGCGAUUCACAUAUCGAUCAAUUUAUUGAUUUAUUUAUAAAUAAAAGAUCCAAAGACAAAGAACAGGUACAUUAUGGUAUCAUUUUAUAUUAUUACUUAGUCUUAUUGUUAAUGGCUUCAGUCGCGUUGGUAUUUAAUUUUUCAUUUGCUCGUUUAUGUAUGACAGUUAACAAUGUUGGUGUAUUACAAUUAUUUACGCGUGUAGGCCACUCCAACUCUCUAUUUCAAAUAGAUUAGUGUGCUCUCUCAGAGCUGGGAGAUUUCAUCCUUAUUUUAACAUAUUACUCGAGACGGUGUUUCUCACAGCGUUCUCGGGUUCAUGCGUUCUCGGGUUCAUGCGUUCAUGCGUCCAUGCAUACACGUCUCCUACUCAGACUUUUCCCCUACACGGGGUAUUUAAUUUUUCAUUUGCUUGUUUAGCUAUGUAUGACAGUUAACAAUUUUGGUGUAUUACAAUUAUUUAUGUGUGUUGGCCACUCCAACUCACACUCGAUAUUUUGAAUAGAUUAGUGUGCUCCCUCAGGGCUGGGAGAUUUCAUCCUUAUUUUAACAUAUUACUCGAGUCAGUGUUUCUCACAGCGUUCUACGGGUUCAUGCGUUCUACGGGUUCAUGCGUUCUACGGGUUCAUGCGUUCUACGGGUUCAUGCGUUCUACGGGUUCACGCGUUCUUGGGUUUAUGCGUUCUUGCGCAAAGGCGUACACGUCUCCUACUCAGACUUUUUCCCCUACACGGGGCCUGACUUUCGCCGAUGUCACCUUCUCUUUCUUGCAAGGCAUUUUUCCAUCUAAAAGCGAUAGCCUAGGAGCAGCUGUUACUAUUAUCAUUUCAAGAAUCAACAACUCCCUGUCCUUACGCUUCCAUGUUCCUUUAUCUCAAGCUUCGGCAACGCACGUCCCCGAAUCACCUGUUUAUUUGCGGCCUGCCAAUGCCUAAAGGGUGGUUCAGAGUCCAUCUCGCGAUGGUGGUAGAAGGGUGCGGCCUACCAUCUCCCCUCUACACUGGCCACUCCUCCCGGAUUGGAGCGGCAACCACAGCCGCUGAACAAGGGUUGCCGGUCGCGUCUAUCAAACGGCUGGGAAGGCGGUCUUCCACAGCUUACGAAUCCUACAUCCGGUUGAAUUCAUGGUUCUUCCUUCAAGCGCACACGAUGCUCUAACGUCGGUUAAGGCAGGUUCAUCACGUUUGCUACUACAGCUGUUUUUGGCGGCCUGUUUCCAUUCUAGUUUUAGUCUUGGUGUCAAGGUGUCAUUUUUGUUUUUUAUUAGUUUUAGUUACAUUCAUACUCUUUCCAGUGUUAUCGUAAUUCCAUUUAGAUAUUAUCGAAGUUACAAGUGCGUAGUUUUGUUAAAUAAGGUAAACGGUUGAAAAUUGAUGUUAUGUCUGGAACAGUUGAAGUUCCAGGUGAACAAAAUAAUGUUAUAAGUCUUUAUCGCCUAGUUUAGGUCAACGAAAAUGAAGAGACAUUUUAGCAGUCUUAUUUUCGUAAAACACUUUUAGUCUUGUUUUAUUCGCCAACUAUAUUGUACUAUGCAUUUAAUCACAGCUAUUGUCACACACCCAGCAUCCACGUUG
ensembl:lncRNA